CUACGGGAGGCAGCAGUGAGGAAUCUUAGACAAUGGGCGCAAGCCUGAUCUAGCCAUGCCGCGUGUGUGAUGAAGGCCUUAGGGUCGUAAAGCACUUUCGCCAGAGAUGAUAAUGACAGUAUCUGGUAAAGAAACCCCGGCUAACUCCGUGCCAGCAGCCGCGGUAAUACGGAGGGGGUUAGCGUUGUUCGGAAUUACUGGGCGUAAAGCGCACGUAGGCGGACUGGAAAGUUGGGGGUGAAAUCCCGGGGCUCAACCCCGGAACUGCCUCCAAAACUAUCAGUCUAGAGUUCGAGAGAGGUGAGUGGAAUUCCGAGUGUAGAGGUGAAAUUCGUAGAUAUUCGGAGGAACACCAGUGGCGAAGGCGGCUCACUGACUCGAUACUGACGCUGAGGUGCGAAAGUGUGGGGAGCAAACAGGAUUAGAUACCCUGGUAGUCCACACCGUAAACGAUGAAUGCCAGUCGUCAGCAAGCAUGCUUGUUGGUGACACACCUAACGGAUUAAGCAUUCCGCCUGGGGAGUACGGUCGCAAGAUUAAAACUCAAAGGAAUUGACGG
rnacentral:rRNA from 1 species